CAAUCCUCAAACUACAACAGCAGCACCAGCUCCCCUGGGGAUCUCCAGCUCAAUGACUCUCAGACUUGGGAGGCAGCUCCAGCUCCCACCAAGCCUCCAGCUCCACAACCUUCAAACUAGAACAGCAGCACCAGCUACUCCCUGGGUCUCCAGCUCCCUCAAAAUUCAACUAUAGCACUGGCUGUUCCCCAGCGCCACCAGCUCCACAACCCUCAACUUACACGGUGGUAGCACCAGCUCCUCCCUAGGUCUCCAGCUACACGACCGUCAAACUUGAACUGCAACACCAGCUCCUCUUCGGCCUCCAGCUCCACAAUCCUCCAACAACAACAGCAACACCGGCUCCUCCCUGAAUCUCCAGCUCAACAACCCUCAGACUUGAGAGGCAGCACCGGCACCUCCCCAAGGCUCCAGCUCCAUGACCCUCAGAUUUGAACAGCGGUAGCACCAGCUCCUGUCCAGCUUCCGGACCCUCGAACUAUGACAACAUUGCUCCUCCCUGGGUCUGCAGCUCCACGACCCUCAAAGCAGAUCAAGAUCUCUCCUUCCUGUGUCAUCAGCUUCCUGACCCUUGAACUAUGACAACAUUGCUCCUCCCUGGGUCUGCAGCUCCAUGACUCUCAAACUAGAACAGCAGCACCAGCUCCUUCCUGGACCUCCAGGUCAAUGACUCUCAGACUUCAAAGGCAGCAGCAGCUCCACCCCCAGGCUCCAGCUCUAAAACCCUCAGAUGUGAGCAGUGGCAGCACCAGCUCCUUUCUGCGUCUCCGGCUUCAUGAUCCUUAAAUUAGAACAGCAGCGCCAUCUUCUCCCUGCGUCUCCAGCUCCAGGAACCUCAAACUGCAACAGGAGCACCUGUUCCUCUGGGAUUUUCACCUCCACGACCCUGAGGUGUCAGUGGCAGCACUGGCUCCUCCCCUGGGCUGCAGCUCCAGAACCCUCAAGAAUAAUCCCUUCUCAUGAAAUGUAGCAGUCAGGAAAACUGCAGAGGAAGUAAAUAAAUAAAUGUUUUCUUUC
rnacentral:lncRNA from 10 species